UACGUAGGGGGCAAGCGUUGUCCGGAAUUAUUGGGCGUAAAGAGCUCGUAGGCGGUGUGUCGCGUCGGCCGUGAAAACCUGCAGCUUAACUGUGGGCUUGCGGUCGAUACGGGCAUCACUGGAGUUCGGCAGGGGAGACUGGAAUUCCUGGUGUAGCGGUGAAAUGCGCAGAUAUCAGGAGGAACACCGGUGGCGAAGGCGGGUCUCUGGGCCGAUACUGACGCUGAGGAGCGAAAGCGUGGGGAGCGAACAGG
rnacentral:rRNA from 1 species